rnacentral:rRNA from 1 species
CCCUUAGAUGUUCUGGGCAGCACGCGCGCUACAAUGGUCUUCGCAAACGGAUGCAUUCUCGAAGGAGAAUGCCAAUCUUGGAAUCUAUGCCUUGGUCGGGACAGUUGCUUGCAAUUUUUCGACUCGAACCAGGAAUUCCUUGUAAUCGUGAUUCAUCACAUCACGAUGAAUACGUCCCUGCCCUUUGUACACACCGCCCGUCGCUCCUACCGAUCGAAGAGUUAGGUGAAUUGUUUUGAUCGAUAAGAUUUGACUAUGGUAACUCUCGUUGUGAAAUUCUGUGAAUCUGACUGUUUAGAGGAAGGAAAAGUCGUAACA